AAGUUACUGACGAGAGUCUGAUCAGCCAUGUAGCGUGAAGGAUAGACAUGCCCUAUGGGUUGUAAACUUCUUUUAUAAGGGAAUAAAGUGAGGGACGUGUCCCUUUUUGUAUGUACCUUAUGAAUAAGGAUCGGCUAACUCCGUGCCAGCAGCCGCGGUAAUACGGAGGAUCCAAGCGUUAUCCGGAUUUAUUGGGUUUAAAGGGAGCGUAGGUUGACAUAUAAGUCAGCUGUGAAAGUUUACGGCUCAACCGUGAAAUUGCAGUUGAUACUGUAUGUCUUGAGUGUACAAGAGGUGGGCGGAAUUCGUGGUGUAGCGGUGAAAUGCUUAGAUAUCACGAAGAACUCCAAUUGCGAAGGCAGCUCACUGGGGUACAACUGACACUGAGGCUCGAAAGUGUGGGUAUCAAACAGGAUUAGAUACCCUGGUAGUCCACACAGUAAACGAUGAAUACUCGCUGUUUGCGAUAUACAGUAAGCGGCCAAGCGAAAGCAUUAAGUAUUCCACCUGGGGAGUACGCCGGCAACGGUGAAACUCAAAGAAAUUUGACGGA
rnacentral:rRNA from 1 species